rnacentral:misc_RNA from 1 species
GAAAUGCGAUAAGUAGUGUGAAUUGCAGAAUUCAGUGAAUCAUCGAAUCUUUUAACGCACAUUGCGCCCUUUGGUAUUCCUUAGGGCAUGCCUGUUCGAGCGUCAUCUAAACCUUCAAGCCCUGCUUGGUGUUGGGUGCCUGUCCCGCCUCCGCGCGCGGACUCACCUCAAAUCCAUUGGCGGCCCCCGCGUCGGCCACGAGCGCAGCAGAAACGCGAACUCGUGAGCCCGUCCGGGCGGCUCCCAGAAGCUACACCCACCCAGUUUGACCUCGGAUCAGGUAGGGAUACCCGCUGAACUUAAGC